UAGGAUGAGGUGAAGUUGUUCCUCCAGAAUUUCAGCCAAAAUGCACGCGCGCUGACCGACAAGGAGACCAAGGCUUUCCUCAAAGCUGCUGACACUGACGGUGAUGGCAAGAUUGGCUCUGCUGAGUUCACUGCCGUGGCUAAGAAAUGAAAUGCAACUGACCACCAACUACUCUGAUGGAACAACAAGCCCACUUCGACCUCCCCCUUCAA